GCCGUACUCCCUCCAUCCAACAAAAGAUGCUUUAAGUUUGUCAAAAUUUAAAUGUAUCUAAACAUCACUUAGUGUAUACAUGCAUUCAAAUUUAGUAAAAGUUGAGACAUUUUUUGUUGGACGAAGAGAGUAUUUA
rfam:Brachypodium distachyon strain Bd21 chromosome 4, whole genome shotgun sequence.